rnacentral:tRNA from 1 species
GCCUAGUUAGCUUAGUUGGUAGUGCGUCUGCCUCAGCGCUAGGCCGCGGGUUCGAUUCCCGCCCAGGGCG